UUUUUUCCUUCUCUUGUUGUCGUCUCUCUCUUUCUCGAGCUUUUCCCGACAAAAACCGAGUCAUGCGAGAUCACCAUGAUUCGAGUCGAUCUGAACCAUGCUCACUUCUCCAGGUGGUUUCUCGGAAUCGAAAGAUGUCAAAGAUCUGCCAGUACUUCUAAUGAAGAAGCUGAUUAUUGUAACUUGUUCGGUGGAGCAUCUGAUACUCUUGAGUAAGAACCCGAUUGUAACAUGGUGAUGGUGUUUGUGAAGUCCUCCAAGUCCAAAUACCAAAUUACCAAUCAUGAUUGUGAGAAGAGCUAUGAAGAACUCAACUGUUGUUCCUAGAGGUGGAGCUAUAGAUAUGGAGAUAAGCAAGUACCUGAGGCAGCAUUCAAGAACUAUUGCUUGGAAGUCACAGCUUUUCAUCAACUCUUAUGCGAAGGCUCUGGAGGUACACUUCAUGGUUGACUUGGAUGUUUUAACUUUUGUGCCUCUUGAUUUCACAUAUAAAAAAGAGAAUAUUACUUAUUUCCAUGUGGCCUGUUAGAUCUAGGUCCUUUAACAAUUUCUUUCACAUCUUUCAUGGUUG